rnacentral:snoRNA from 1 species
CUGCAAGCCUCCAGGUGCCGGGCUCUGGAGCGACCCUGUGCAUUCCACGGUGCUUGCAAGGACAUUAUGAAACAGUUUGAGGCCUUGCCCUGCUCCAUUCAGAGCCAAGUUCUAGGAAUUUCAAAAAUAA